UUUCCGUAGGUGAACCUGCGGAAGGAUCAUUAAUGAGUGAGGGCCCUCUGGGUCCAACCUCCCACCCGUGUUUAUUGUACCUUAUUGCUUCGGUGAGCCCGCCUCACGGCUGCCGGGGGGCAUCUGCCCCCGGUCCCGCGCUCGCCGAAGAAACCCUUGAACUCUGUCUGAAGUUUGCAGUCUGAGCGAAAACUAAAUAAGUGAAAACUUUCAACAACGGAUCUCUUGGUUCCG
rnacentral:misc_RNA from 1 species